rnacentral:rRNA from 1 species
GCUGACGCCGUGCGAGAGGCAGCGGGAAUACGGAGGGUGCAAGCGGUAUACGGAUUUAUUGGGUUUAAAGGGUCCGUAGGCGGACUUAUAAGUCAGUGGUGAAAGCCUGUCGCUUAACGAUAGAACUGCCAUUGAUACUGUAAGUCUUGAGUAUAUUUGAGGUAGCUGGAAUAAGUAGUGUAGCGGUGAAAUGCAUAGAUAUUACUUAGAACACCAAUUGCGAAGGCAGGUUACCAAGUUAUAACUGACGCUGAGGGACGAAAGCGUGGGGAGCGAACAGGAUUAGAUACCCGUGUAGUC